AUUACCCGAGACCCUUACUACGAGAAGGUACUAGUAGCGCGAAGCCGAAAAAAAGGAGUAAACAAAAAAGGGCGCCCUUUUCUGUGUGUCGCGCUAGUACCUUCUGAUAGUAAGCCGGAACUCGGACUAUCAGUAAUUCAAUAUCUACUAAACGUUCGUACAAUGGCACACCAUAAUAACAAGUUGUCAACAUCACGCAUCUCACAUACGCAAGUCACUGCAGCUUAAGAAGCAACUUAAAUUAUGUCCAUGCAUUUUGCCUGCUCCUCUGAGAUUUGCUUUCGUUUUUUGUACAGCUUUUAUAUUAGCUGGAGGAACAAAAUAGAAGGAGGCUCCAAAAAGGGUUUAAAAAAGAGAAUGAUAAAAGUUGCUCGUUACCUUUUCCUCAUCUCGGUGAAACUAACCCGAACCGCACGACGUAACUAGGGCAUCAACUUGUCGUGCUACAACAUUGGCUGAACUUCCGUAUUGGCAGGAUCUACAUCCUUAUCAAAAUUCGAACAUCAAAACGUCUAAGCAACAACAACAAAGCCCUUGUUAUUUUGGCUGUUACACUGGUCAUGUGAACAGAGAGAAUGAAUUUUCUUCCCCAUGGCUUGGCUCUUAGCACUCUUGUUCCAGACGGCUUCAGUACGUCAAAUUAGAAACCAAUGCCGACCAUCUGGAUAUCACUCGACACAAUACGCCCACUGCACCGCCGUACGCAUUUGCUGGAGUGCAUACGUUCUCCUAGAUCAAAUUGCAAGAUUUUAUGAGCUAGAUAAUUUGCCAAUUGCCUUUACAGAAUUUUAAGAUAAAUUGUUUCACAAUAACGUAAUACUUGACACAUUAACCUAAACUUCACCCUGUCGACUGCCGAGCAGAAUGUAUACUGAGACUGACUAAUGCACUCUCCCAUAAAACCAACGCUAGGUUUCAAAACUUCUUGAUUAAUUACAUUUUUCAAAGAUCUUAUUUGAGCAGUUUGUAAUUAUUUGCCAACAUUGUGAAAUAUUUUAUACGUUAAUAAAUUUUUACAGAUGCGAAUGAA